GACGAACGCUGGCGGCGUGCCUAACACACGCAAGUCGAACGGAAGUAAGAGCUUCGGUUUUGCUUUAGUGGCGAACGGGUGAGUAACGCGUGAGGAACCUGCCUUUCAGUGGGGGACAACAGUUGGAAACGACUGCUAAUACCGCAUAAGGCCCACGACCCGGCAUCGGGUUGAGGGAAAAGGAGCAAUCCGCUUUGAGAUGGCCUCGCGUCCGAUUAGCUAGUUGGUGAGGUAACGGCCCACCAAGGCAACGAUCGGUAGCCGGGCUGAGAGGUUGAACGGCCACAUUGGGACUGAGACACGGCCCAG
rnacentral:rRNA from 1 species